UUGAGCUCUUUCGUUUUACAAAGCCUCGCUGGAAUUCUCUUCCAUUCAGUGGUGAUGGCCAGUUCUAACAUUACAGCAACUUGCCUUGAAAACCAGCAUUUUCAAGACAGGCAUUUUUCAGUGUUAUACAUUAUUCAUUUUCCUUCCUUUGGUUUUCUUUGCUGUUAGUUUCUUUUGCCACUGUGCAGGAGGAGGAGAGAUGAGGGAAGGAGGAGGUGGUAGCACUCUUCCUCUGCUCACUGUCCAUUUUCCCCCUUUUCCCUGGCUCAGAAUGAAUUUUGUACUGUUUACAGAGCUGUCAGAAACAAGGGGUGGGAGGAAGGAAGAGGAGGGGAGGACAAAGUGAGAAUGGGAGGAAACCUUUGCUCUCUGAUGUCACUAUUCCAAAAUUAGAUCAAGUCACAUUUCCUCAUGGAACUUCGGGUGCAAGGAAGCACUGAGCUUUUGCAGCCCCUAGUCUGAAGUUGCCUGCUCCAGUAGAUGACCUGCGCUGUCAUGCACGCUAUCCAAAACAAUUGGACAAUGGCAAACUUUUAAAGUUAAUGCAUGUCCUGGUUAUUGUCCUGUCCCCCUCAGCUUGUGCAUUCUGACACUUGCUUGAUGUCGCUGAGUCCUGUUUAUUGAAAAUAACAUUUAAUCCAUGACUUGCCUGCUGCAUUCUUGUUUGACCUGUUAACUGUUAAGCCAAAAAAAUUAUUUUAAGAAUGGACUUGUCAAAGGGAGCAUAUCUCCUCCCUUCAAAGACCUCUGAGGAUGAAUAUUUGAUUAAAAUGUGACUGCAGCAUUAAAAUGGA